ACAGUCUCCCACCUGCUCUGGUUUAGCGAUCAGGCUCGGGAGUAGAGAGGGCCAGAAAGUGAGGCUGUCAGCAGGCUUCAAGGAGGCUGGGAGGCAGGGAAAGGAAACAACCAUCCCGAGUCUCAGAGACUCGACAGGAGUGUUCCACCCCACACCGGUGGCAUCCGACCGCCUCUGCCACCGGCACGGCCUCCUCCUCGGAGACGGGCCCUGUCUACCAUGGCGGGAUAUGGGCCCACUGUCUGAGAAUGUGUGCACGCAUGCGCUUGUGGAGCGGCUGUGCACACGCGGAAUGGAGUCUCUGGAGUCCAGCAGGAGAAGGUCCCCUGUGUUAGACCUGUGGAGUCUGCCCAUUUGCUCUUAUCUGUGACCUUCAAUAUCUGACUAGUACGAAGAGCCCGACAAGUUUUAGAGCAUAACCCACGAGGAGUGCACUCCCCUAACAUCUCUAGAGGACACCAUCCAAUGACUGGAAGUGCCCAGCUUCUGGCCCAUUCUUCCAGGGCAUUACCCCUCAGCUGCAGACGUGACCAGGGCAGGGCUGAUGCUCACUCCCUCGGAAGUGGGAGGACCGACCUGAGAAGGGGAUGAAAAGCAGCACGAGGCCACCAAGCAAAGCAGCGUCAGGACUGCAAUCGGGGUUAUGGUCUCACGCUUCGCAAUCCUGUUCUCUUUCAAGAGGGCAUGCUGCCUCCAGCACCCAAAGGGAACAUCCAGAUCGGUUAUUUUGAUCACAGAGACGUGAAUCAAGGAAGAACUGAUCCUACACUGAUGUAGUAAAAGGAUGUGAGUUGCUGUCACUUCAACACAAUAAAUCAGAAUAAUGUU